rnacentral:rRNA from 1 species
CGUAGGGUGCAAGCGUUAAUCGGAAUUACUGGGCGUAAAGCGUGCGCAGGCGGUGAUGUAAGACAGUUGUGAAAUCCCCGGGCUCAACCUGGGAACUGCAUCUGUGACUGCAUCGCUGGAGUACGGCAGAGGGGGAUGGAAUUCCGCGUGUAGCAGUGAAAUGCGUAGAUAUGCGGAGGAACACCGAUGGCGAAGGCAAUCCCCUGGGCCUGUACUGACGCUCAUGCACGAAAGCGUGGGGAGCAAACAGGAUUAGAUACCCUGGUAGUCCACGCCCUAAACGAUGUCAACUGGUUGUUGGGUCUUCACUGACUCAGUACGAAGCUAACGCGUGAAGUUGACCGCCUGGGGAGUACGGCCGCAAGGUUG